rnacentral:rRNA from 1 species
UACGAAGGGGGCUAGCGUUGCUCGGAUUGACUGGGCGUAAAGGGCGCGUAGGCGGUUUGCAUAGUCAGACGUGAAAUUCCUGGGCUUAACCUGGGGGCUGCGUUUGAUACAUGCAGGCUUGAGUUCGGAAGAGGGUCGUGGAAUUCCCAGUGUAGAGGUGAAAUUCGUAGAUAUUGGGAAGAACACCGGUGGCGAAGGCGGCGACCUGGUCCGAUACUGACGCUGAGGCGCGAAAGCGUGGGGAGCAGACAGG